rnacentral:rRNA from 1 species
UGGGGAAUUUUGGACAAUGGGGGCAACCCUGAUCCAGCCGUGCCGCGUGAGUGAAGAAGGCCUUCGGGUUGUAAAGCUCUUUCGGCGGGGCAGAAAUGGCAACGGCUAAUAUCCGUUGUUGAUGACGGUACCCGCAUAAGAAGCACCGGCUAACUACGUGCCAGCAGCCGCGGUAAUACGUAGGGUGCGAGCGUUAAUCGGAAUUACUGGGCGUAAAGCGUGCGCAGGCGGUUUCGUAAGACAGACGUGAAAUCCCCGGGCUCAACCUGGGAACUGCGUUUGUGACUGCGAGGCUAGAGUACGGCAGAGGGGGGUAGAAUUCCACGUGUAGCAGUGAAAUGCGUAGAGAGGUGGAGGAAUACCGAUGGCGAAGGCAGCCCCCUGGGUUAGGACUGACGCUCAUGCACGAAAGCGUGG